UGACCUAAACCCUCACCAGAGUAACAAUUGGAGGGCAAGUCUGGUGCCAGCAGCCGCGGUAAUUCCAGCUCCAAUAGCGUAUAUUAAACUUGUUGCAGUUAAAAAGCUCGUAGUUGAAUUUUUGCGUGGUGUUAAUAUUGACUGAUGUCGAGAUUGCACUUCGCUUUUGGGAUUUUUCCCUUUUUACUUUGAGAAAAUUAGAGUGUUUCAAGCAGACUUUUGUCUUGAAUACUUCAGCAUGGAAUAAUAGAGUAGGACUUUGGUUCUAUUUUGUUGGUUUGUGAACCUUAGUAAUGGUUAAUAGGAACGGUUGGGGGCAUUCGUAUUUAACUGUCAGAGGUGAAAUUCUUAGAUUUGUUAAAGACGAACUACUGCGAAAGCAUUUGCCAAGGACGUUUUCAUUAAUCAAGAACGAAAGUUAGGGGAUCGAAGACGAUCAGAUACCGUCGUAGUCCUAACCAUAAACUAUGCCGACUAGGGAUUGGAGGUCGUCAUUUUUCCGACUCCUUCAGCACCUU
rnacentral:rRNA from 1 species